rnacentral:rRNA from 1 species
GUUGAUAAGGUUAAGUGAAUAAGGGCGCACGGUGGAUGCCUUGGCACUAGGAGCCGAUGAAGGACGGGACUAACACCGAUAUGCUUUGGGGAGCUGUAAGUAAGCUAUGAUCCAGAGAUUUCCGAAUGGGGGAACCCAAUAUCUUUUAUAGGAUAUUACUUUUCAGUGAAUACAUAGCUGAUUAGAGGUAGACGCAGAGAACUGAAACAUCUUAGUACCUGCAGGAAGAGAAAGAAAAUUCGAUUCCCUGAGUAGCGGCGAGCGAAACGGGAAGAGCCCAAACCAACAAGCUUGCUUGUUGGGGUUGUAGGACUCCAAUAUGGUAGUCUGUUAGUAUAGUUGAAGGAUUUGGAAAAUUCCGCUAAAGAGGGUGAAAGCCCCGUAGACGAAAUGCUGACAACACCUAGGAGGAUCCUGAGUACGGCGGAACACGAGAAAUUCCGUCGGAAUCCGCGGGGACCAUCCCGCAAGGCUAAAUACUCCCUAGUGACCGAUAGUGAACCAGUACCGUGAGGGAAAGGUGAAAAGCACCCCGGAAGGGGAGUGAAAUAGAUCCUGAAACCGUGUGCCUACAACAAGUCAAAGCUCGUUAAUGAGUGAUGGCGUGCCUUUUGUAGAAUGAACCGGCGAGUUACGAUUGCAUGCGAGGUUAAGUCGAAGAGACGGAGCCGCAGCGAAAGCGAGUCUGAAUAGGGCGAAUGAGUAUGUAGUCGUAGACCCGAAACCAUGUGAUCUACCCAUGUCCAGGUUGAAGGUGCGGUAAAACGCACUGGAGGACCGAACCCACGUACGUUGAAAAGUGCGGGGAUGAGGUGUGGGUAGCGGAGAAAUUCCAAACGAACUUGGAGAUAGCUGGUUCUCUCCGAAAUAGCUUUAGGGCUAGCCUCGGAAUUGAGAAUGAUGGAGGUAGAGCACUGUUUGGACUAGGGGCCCAUCUCGGGUUACCGAAUUCAGAUAAACUCCGAAUGCCAUUCAUUUAUAUCCGGGAGUCAGACUGCGAGUGAUAAGAUCCGUAGUCGAAAGGGAAACAGCCCAGACCACCAGCUAAGGUCCCAAAAUAUAUGUUAAGUGGAAAAGGAUGUGGGGUUGCACAGACAACUAGGAUGUUGGCUUAGAAGCAGCCACCAUUUAAAGAGUGCGUAAUAGCUCACUAGUCGAGUGACCCUGCGCCGAAAAUGUACCGGGGCUAAACAUAUUACCGAAGCUGUGGACUACACCAUUAGGUGUAGUGGUAGGAGAGCGUUCUAAGGGCGUUGAAGGUCGAUCGUGAGGACGGCUGGAGCGCUUAGAAGUGAGAAUGCCGGUAUGAGUAGCGAAAGACAGGUGAGAAUCCUGUCCACCGUAUGACUAAGGUUUCCUGGGGAAGGCUCGUCCGCCCAGGGUUAGUCGGGACCUAAGCCGAGGCCGAUAGGCGUAGGCGAUGGACAACAGGUUGAUAUUCCUGUACCAGUUGUUUUUGUUUGAGCAAUGGAGGGACGCAGUAGGCUAAGGAAUGCAUGCGAUUGGAAGUGCAUGUCCAAGCAAUGAGUCUUGAGUAGAGUUAAAUGCUUUA